UACGAAGGGGGGCUAGCGUUGCUCGGAAUCACUGGGCGUAAAGCGCACGUAGGCGGAUGUGUCAGUCAGGGGUGAAAUCCCGGGGCUCAACCUCGGAACUGCCUUUGAUACAGCACGUCUCGAGUCCGGAAGAGGUGGGUGGAAUUCCUAGUGUAGAGGUGAAAUUCGUAGAUAUUAGGAAGAACACCGGUGGCGAAGGCGGCCCACUGGUCCGGUACUGACGCUGAGGUGCGAAAGCGUGGGGAGCAAACAGG
rnacentral:rRNA from 1 species